UUUGAUGACGAGUGGCGGACGGGUGAGUAAUGCUUGGGAAUCUAGCUUAUGGAGGGGGAUAACUACGGGAAACUGUAGCUAAUACCGCGUAAUAUCGAAAGAUUAAAGUGUGGGACCUUCGGGCCACAUGCCAUAGGAUGAGCCCAAGUGGGAUUAGGUAGUUGGUGAGGUAAAGGCUCACCAAGCCGACGAUCUCUAGCUGGUCUGAGAGGAUGACCAGCCACACUGGGACUGAGACACGGCCCAGACUCCUACGGGAGGCAGCAGUGGGGAAUAUUGCGCAAUGGGGGCAACCCUGACGCAGCCAUGCCGCGUGAAUGAAGAAGGCCUUCGGGUUGUAAAGUUCUUUCGGUAGCGAGGAAGGCAUUUAGUUUAAUAGAC
rnacentral:rRNA from 1 species